UCGCUUGUUUCUCUCUCUCGUCUCUCUCAUCAACAAAUGGAAACAAGCCGAUAGCGACACCAUGUUCUUCGAUGAAACCUCUGCUUUCCAACUAGGGGUAAGUCUUAGGAACCCUCUCCCUCUUUUCCUUUUUCGUCGUUUAGUAUCAAAUUUAAGUGUGGUGUGUGAUUUUUGGACUGGUUUAAUGGAAGGAAACACAUCGAAAAGUUUUCCUAGAUUUUUGGCAAACCUGAGAAUGUUGCAGGCCAUUUCUGGCUAACUUCGGCCACGGCUGGGCCUUGAAUGGUAUAGUUCGAAUCCUUGUCUCCCUAGCUUCGUUUUGGUUUUAAAAUUUUUAAUUUUGGUUGAGUAUUAAGGCUGAAUGCAGCCUCUAUGAUUCUAGCUGAAUCCAGCCUUCUUCUUCGUUCCGUCAGGCAACCUAUGAGCCCAAACGAGUCAACCCGACCUGGUACAGGAAAAAAAUAAAAGGAGGCUUAAGCCCAAACCCAGCCCAAACCUUAAGCCUAAGUUGUUCUAGCUCGGUCCAUUUCCGAAAUAGGCUUAGAAUAUUCUUUUAAAUAUUCCUCGUGUUGACUUUUUCGAAAUUUUCUCGAAAACCCUAUUAGGUUAAUUUCAAUGUCCCGAGUCUGUUUUUGACAUCCAUGUAGUGAAAUUUCAAAGUUUUAACGUAGUUGACCGCCGAUGUGGUUCGGUUGAUUGUUUUAGGGUUGACCAUUGACUUUUCAUUGACUUUUUACAAAAUUUGUCCAAGACUCUUCUUAGCGUAUUUCAACGCACUGAUCCGAAUCCAUCCAUUUCUCCAGAUUUAAACGUUUUAAUUGAGUUUUACUAAUGGGUUUCUAUUAUGCUUAGGUACGAUUAUCAUCGGUGAUCCGUAUUUACUCGUUUGAACUGCUGCAACCUCGCAAGUACCUAUGAGUCUUAUAUAGUACAUAUAUAUUUGUUAGUUUCCAUUUAUAUAUUUGAUAAAGAAUUUUCUACGUUAGACCUAGAUUUGGUUAACAUAUAUACAUGUAGUGAAAUUUGAUGCGUAAAUUAUACUAUGUCCUACAAGAUGCACAUGUAUGCAUAUUAGUACGGAUACUUUAAUUGUAUUUACGAUCAUGAAUAGUAUUUCAUUGAUUAGAAUUAUUGAAUUAUCGAAUUAUCAAUUACCAUUGCAUGAUCAUAUUUACGUUAUUUGCUCAUCGUGUGCUGCACUGGUGUUAUUACUCGCCUAGAGCCAGGGCCAAUCUUUCACGUGUAUGUUCACAUUGCACCGUACGCUCACUUUGGAUCCAUUAUAAGUGCCAAUCCUGUCAUAAAUUGCUAUAGGCAAUUAGAACUCGUAUGUGAUGUGUAUAGGGUCAGUCUUCACGUGAUUGUAGUACUAGAGCGUAAAUCAUUAUUACACCCUGUCAUGUUCAUGUCAUAAUAUCUCUGCAUGAACUCGUGUGUCAGCAUAUAUCAAUGAGCACUCGAUAUGAUAUGUUUAUUUAUGCGAGAUUAUGUGAUUUUCGGACGUUAGAUGUUUAUUUACGAAAUAUUGUGACGUAUUGAACUCUUGAGAUAUUGCAGGCUACGGUAAGUAUUUUAAUACUAUACGUUGUAUGUAUAUUUUGGAAACUAUAAUUGUUUUACAAUGAGGAGUUAAUAUGCUUUGAAAAGAUUGUUACAAAACUUUAUUUUUAGGCCCAGUCACCUUUGUUUUUUUCGCCCUUCCAGGUUUUGGUAGCUGAGCUUUCAUAUCAAUGAGGAUUCUCGGCAAAUCUUGGUAUUGGAGGCUACAUUCGAUGGUAUAAUUCUCAUUCUACUUUUACUAUACUUUACUUAUGCUUGGGCAUCAUGUGUGAUAUUGGUUCAUUCCCGCUCACAUGCGCACUCUUCCAUUAGGCACUUCUAGGUUUAAAUUUACUCACAUCUUCCACAUCAUUACACUUUAUGACUUCGUCUUCUUCCCGGUGUCGGCCAUCACAGUUCUAUUCGGGGUCCAGGUGGACAUUCCGGUUCGGGGUGUGUCAUUUUAUCUCCAACACUACUCUUUAUUUUAACAAGCAUUAGCAUAUGCCUACACCCUUUAUGCAUGUGAACAUUUUUAUUUUUGUUUUUGAAAUGCGAAGGAGAGAGGGAGAUAGAGAAUGUGGGAGUAGGAGCGAGGAGUUGGGAGAGGGGUUUUUGUUUCAUAUUUUUUUUAAUAUUAGAUUUAUUCUAAAAUCACAUGUAGAAGAAUUUUAAAUGAAAAACAACAAAAUUUAGUUUUGUGGAAUCACAUUACCGCCCAUAAUUUGUUCGUUGUGAUAGAAUACUAAAUAGCCUUUUCAUCAUCUUGACAAAAAAGGAUUUUGUUAAUAAGUGGUUUAAAUUGGAAUAUUUUAUUAUUUACCAAUUUAAUCUUUUUAUAUUCAUUCAUUUUACUUACCAAAAAAACCUGCUUUCUAGAAUGGAAAGGGAUCAUCGGAUCCCUUCCACCAAGUCCUAGGGAACAAUCAAUUCAGACCCUUAAAAUUUGAUUAAAUGGCUACAAAUAUGAGUCAACUUUCAAAAUUUUAAUAACUUUAACCGUUAAAUCAAAUUUUAAAGAUCCGGAUUUAUGGAUCCUAGGACUUGGUGGAAGGGAUCCAAAGAGGAUCCCUUUCCUUAUAGAACCACCAGUUCUCCUAUUUAUGGUCCUCUCAUUUCCUUUCCUCCUUUUAUCACUAUGUUUAAUCCAUCGCUCUCUGUUCUCUCUCCCUUAAAUGAAAGUUGAAAGUUGCCGCUCCCUCUCUUAUUUUCUUCCGUUAGUGUCUUCUCCUUUUAUUUUUUUAUUUUUUUGUUCUUCCGUUAUACGAUAGAUUUGUUGAAUUAGACGUUAAAUUAGAGAGUUAACGGAAUUCGAACUGAUACAACAAUAAUGCAAAGACAACACUUCUCUUCAUCACUGUGGUAGAUGGUCAUUUGUAGCUAUUCUCUCUAGUCUCAAAAGAUUAUAAAAUGUUGAUCUUCAGCUGGAUAAGACAACGAAACGAAUCCCUCAAGCGACAGUCCCAAUGAAACCUAUCCUUCCCAAAUCUGACUUGUUCUGAAUAUAAAAAUGAGAAAUUAAAGAAGAAACAUUUUUGUGGGACGGAAGACCAUAAAAGUUUCUUUUCAUCGGUAAAGCUUUAAUUAAAUGCAAUAAAGAACUAGGAUGGAUGCAUGUUUUAUUCAGAAUUUGUCGUGACAACUGAUUCUUUGUUGAGAGUAAGAAGUGCGGAGUUUGGUGGAUACUUCAUAUAUUGCUCGUUAUUCCACCUCAAUUCUGAGGGUUGAGGUUUGUAUUUUGGCUGGAUAUGCAGGUCUCGCGCUAAUAACGUUGUGUUAGUAUAUUUUCACCGCCAACACCGUUAACCCAAAUUUAGGCAGCCUCCAAUGCAGUGCACGUCUUUCACAACCCUAUGAAAUUUAGUCCCUCUGAGAGGAUGAGGAUCCUCUCCGGAUUCACUUUAUGAGGAUUCUAAAGAUCCUCAAAUCUUAGUAGUUUAUCGUAUUUUAUGUAAUCAGUUUUUGUUAGUUAUUAUUGGUGUUAAUUUUAAAUAAUAAAAUUUAAAUGAUUUUUUACCACACGAUGUGUGAAGAAUGACUAAGAUGUGAGGAUCCUUAGAAUUCUCACAAUUUGGCUCUAGGUGGGAUCCAAAUCCCCUUUGGGACUCGCUUGGGGGCUUGAUGAAAUAAGUUGUGACCAUUUUUUUUUUUUUUGAACAAAUGAUAUUAUCUACAAACUACAGUAAGGGGGGGAUGGUGGGCUUAGUCUCUUAAUGAGCUAUCAAUAAUGUGACUCUAAUUCACCUUUGUAAGAAUCGAACCUAAGACCUCUCGCUUACAAGUGAAGAUGAAUACCACUAAAAUGUAGUACUAAAUGGCAAAUUGUGAGCAAUUAAAAUAGACUUGAGUAUAGUCUAUUGUUUGUGGUAUCAAAAUAUGAAAUGGACAUGAUUGAACAAGAUGAAUUAUGAAUUUACAAUAAAGUGAAUUAUCUAACUUCUUUAUACAAAAGAUACAAGUCAUGUCUUAAGAUCUAAUCCCAUCUAGCCGCAGAGGAUGACUCCACAUAUCGAUUGCUUUUUCUCCCGUGCACAGGACACGAAGCUUUCUCCUUAUUCAAUUGGAUUAUGUUGUAAAUAUUAUGUGGAUGGCCCACAUGAAUAGUUUGUUACUAUUUAUUCACAUUAUUUUCACUAUUCAUUUGUGGAAAAUUUGUAAGGUGAAUAGUGUCCUCUUUGAUUAUAAAAUGAAUGAGAAGAAGAGGAAGAAAGGGGUUCACGGGAGAGAUAAGAAGAAAAGAAAGAAAGAAAGAGAGGAAGGAAGGAAGAGGAAGAGAGAGAAGGAAGAGGAAGAGAGAAAAUAGAGAAAGAUGAGAGGAGAUAAUAGAGAGAGAGUUAUCUUUGUACUCCUAUUAUUUCAAAUUAUAAUGAAAGCACCACUGCUGCCCCGAGGACGUACUCCAGUCACACUGACUGUAGAGGAACCUCGUAAAUUUUGUGUCUUGUUUCAUUUAUUCCACUGCACCCACAGUCGAUUUUACAACACGUUAUCAGCACGAGAAGCUCUCAUGUUAGUGGAAAGCACAACGCCACAAAUCAUGUUCACCUCCUUCAGCUGGAAUCUCACAGAUAAGAAAAUCUUUUCAUUUCAUCUUCAAAUCUCAAUACAAUUGAUUUUCUUGAACCAACUAUAUAUAUUGUUGUAUGACUGUAUAUCAUCUUUUGCAGAAGCAAAAGAGUACAGACUCAAAAUUCGUAGAGAAUUUGACGGCCAUGUAAACAGCCUCGGAACUCUAACUUGCGGACCUCGGAUUGAAAUACUUUCUUCUUGAAAGUUGUUCGUCUGCUCAGUAUCUACAACGUAUCAAAAUUUCAGAAAACUUUAACGGUGGGAUUGUCACAGAUGUUUGAAAUACCAAACCAGUUUCCAAUUUCCGUAGAGAACUGGACAGCCACCUUAUGAGUACCACAACUCCAUUUCUGUAGCUCAGAUCGAAAUUAUUUCUUCACGAAAGUUGUUCGGUAUCCUCUUAUCCAUAUCAUACUAAAAUUUGAGCUAAAUCUAACGGUUUGAUCUUUUCAUAAAUUGCAGACACUCUUGACUCCAAAACUUAUGGGAACCGUUUUGACUUUUUCGAAACUCACCGGAGGAGGAACACCAAUUGGAACCUAUUGUUACUAUUACUUUCUGAGUAACCAAAAUAACUUCAGAGCUGUGAAAUAAAAAAUAAAAAUAAAAGGAAUCAAACAAAAGAAAUGGCAGACCAAGAAAAAGAAAAAGCAAAAGAUGAGGACUUAAUCAUUGCAUUUUCUAUUUUGGAAUAUUUAUGUGCAUGAUGUUGGUUUAAAGCUCAUGUCACAAGUUCUAUUUAUUUAAAGCAAUUUAUUUACAGUGGGUAGAAUUAUUACCCUUUGCUUUAAAGCUUUGAUAUUUAUGUGAAUGGUGCUGAAUCAAAGCCCUUGUCACAAGCUUUAUUUACUUUACAGCAAUUUAUUUACUAUGGACGGUUAUACCGCCUAUUGCUUUAAGUUUUAAAGGUGCUGAAUUAAAGCCCUUAUCACAAGAUUUAUUUACUUAAAUGCAAUUUAUUCAUUACGGCUGGAAUUACCGCAUAUUGCUUUAAUUUAUUUAUUGUACUUAUCUUUUGUUACAAUGAGUAUAUAUAUAGGACCUGAAGUUUCUUGAUCCUCAUCAUAUAUAAAAUGAUUGGACCUGAAGUUCCAUCAUGCAUAAGGAUCAAGCAUGAAGUCCCUUGAUCCUGAAGAUCAGGACAUGAAAUUCCUUGAUGAGUAUCAUAAGUCUGAAGUGCCAUAGUACCUCAACUUAAUUGUAAUAAAGGACAUAAGAGUCUCAGUUCACAGACCAUUAAACAAGGACCAGAAGUUCCUCAUGUCCAUACUCAAAAUGGUUUAGCAAAAGCAUUUAUUAAGUGGGUGAAAUUGAUUACCAAUACUCUGCUCAUGAAAACGAAAUUGCCAGUUUUGUACAUGGGGAUAUGUUUACUGCGUGGUUUGCAGAAUAUCAUUUUAAUAAGACAAUUUUCUUGUUGUUAGGAGAGAAAAUAACAUCGUUCCAGAAGAACAAUGAGAAAAUAUCAUUCCAGAAGAAUGAUAAGAAAAGACCGUUCCAGAAGAACGAAGAGAAUUUGUCUUAUUUUGAUUCACGAAGCAAUCAAUGAGAAAAUGAAAUAGGAAUAAUUAAAUGAUGCAACGAAAGUGAUGAAAUCAUAUAUACUUACUACAAAUGUGUCUACAAGAAUUGAUGUCCCUGUUGGACAAAAUAAUGAGACAGUAAAUGAUUUAUCUGUUGUACGCCUGAAGCGUGUCAGAUUUUUAGACUCAAAAGGUUCAGUUAUUCGAAAGAAGAAUAAUAUGGCACUACUGAACUAUUGCAUUCCCGAAGCAUAACUGUUGUGCAUGCCAGAAGCAUGACAGUCACCGCAUGGAUACACGUCCCAGAUAGGACAAUCCACAGACAUGGGAUUAUUAAUGUCUCAUGCAUGUAGCAUGAUAGACGUAUAUGUUCCAAAGACUCAACUCCCGAAAGUGGAGAUUAAAAUUCAAGCUCUAUAAUGCUCAAGAGGAGGUUAUGAUCUACAUGCUCUAAAUUAUGACUAUCCUGGAAGAGAUAGCGCCAUGCCCUUGAAGAGGCAAUGGAUAUCCAAAGAAAUGAAAAGUUUUUAUGCAUGCGCAUGCACAUGAGAAUAUGGGAUCACGGAUUGAUGAUAACUAAUGGUAAUUUUGGUUUUUACAAGUAGCUACUAAAUUCAUCAAUGAACUGUGUUAAUAUUGAGUCACGUUCUUUUGUUCGUCGACAAAAGAAAAAUUAUUGGCCAAAAUGGAGAAAGACAAUUCCAUUACAAUUUUGUAAGAACGUGGACAAAUGAACCUAUAUAUAUUUGAAUGUAAUACAAAUAGCCAAAAGAUGUUGAACCAAGGAGGUUACAUAUGGGCAUUUGUAAUACAGUGUAAUACACUCACAUGAUAUGACACAAGGUUACUAAUUGAAACCUGAAAUUAUACUCUUGUAAACGAGUUCAUAUAAAUGGAGAAUUAUAUACUAAGGGUUGUGAGUAGCCCACAUUAUAUCUCCAUAAGUAAAUCCCUCAAGUAUACAUGGGAGCAAAUUGCUCUGUAUAAAUUCCAAAGGAAAAUGUGUCAUAAAGUGUAGAAAAUCCCUAAAGGAUUCAAAUUGCUUGAAGUAUGCCCUCGAAGGGUAAAGUAUAAAAUAUGUACUCAAUACCAAUGGAUGGUAUAAAUUGCCUUAGUGAGUACUAUCAUUAUGAUAUUGUUGCAACAUACUAAAAUCUCUUGCAAGAGUCAAUAACAUUAAAUUAGAAAUCUUGAAGAGUUGAUGAUAUUAAAUUGGGACUCCUGAAGAGUCUAGAAAAAUUAUAAAGUGUUGAAGGAAUUAUUGUCUCGAGCUGCAGAUCGAACAAUCUACCAACACGAAUCUUAUCCAUGAUAUUUAUGAUAUUAAAAGAACCAUAUGGAUUGAAGAUUAUGAGUUGAAUACUCAAAUGAUGAAAACACUAAGAAUAAUCAUUUAUCUUCGUGAGGGUAAAGAUAAAUUAAUAUUUGGUCCAGAAGUACCACAUCUUAGUGAAGUAUAUGCUUUAUUGUAUUUGGCACAAUACAUUGAAUGAAAUAAAGCUUAUUUAUUAAUAUCUCCAAGAAAUUACAGAUAUGUACAUACACAUGAGUUAAAACAAACAAACAGGAUGGAGCCUUCACAAAGGUUGCUCAUGUGAAGCCUCAGUACUCGGAAGUACCCCAAAAGGGGGAGGCACUGGAGAUUGAUCAUGUGGCACCCAGUACUUAGCAAAAUACCAGAAGGGGAAUGCAUCAGUUGCUUUCGGAAUCUAGCAACGAACCUCUGGUGAUCACUUUGAAUUCGACUUUCGGAUUCCUGCAGUUGGUUGAGCUUUCUUUUCAUGCUCGUAGAGUAAUUAUUUGCAAGCACGUGUAACACCCUAUUCUCGUGCUUGAGCCCUCUGAUCUCUUGUUUAAGAUUUGCCACCUCCGCCAUCAAUGAUUCAACUUGGCGAAUUUGAGCAAGUAGGCGUUGGCCCAUAUUGGAAACAGAGCCAGCACACUGAACACUGAGAGCCAAGGAGUCUUGAACGGCCGACUCUUCAGACCGUUCUGAAAGGAUCUUGUUAUCCCUUGGAGUGAGAAGAUUCCUAGCUACCACAGUAACGGUUAUGUUAUUCUUCAUCACAGAGUCCCCAACCGUAAGAGGACCAUUAGAAGAUAAGAAGGACGGGCGCCAUAUAUUAUCCUGACGCUGCUCGUCUGUAUCACUCCUAAGACUCAAAUCUAAGCAAAUGUUAGAUGGGCAAGUCAUUUUACAGAAAUGAUGAAGGAAAAACAGAGGUCAAAUAAAAAUUCAGAAGUGCAAGAUAUGGGAAAUUUCUACAUGCAGCAACUUUCUGAGCAUACUCUUGAACACAAUUGAUGUCUCUAUAAAAGAAGAGGCAACAGAGCCACUUGUUCAAAGAUCGAAGAGGCACCGCUCUCCGAAUUUCAAAAGCCAGAUUUUCCUAAAUAAAGUUCGUUGGCAUUUUUCAGACGUAAUCUCAGCUUUUUCAGAUAUCGCAUGCAACUUUGUCAAAUAUCUCUGACAAAGUUGAAAACGCGUAAAUCUUACUGUUCUAUUUACACCACAGUUGUUGACAAGAGUAAAAGCACAGCACCACCACUUGCUAUUUAGAAAUCUCUAUAUAUGUCGACCUCUGUUCUCCAUAACAAGGCAGACCUGCAACACUGCAAGAAUACCCAACUCUUCCUCAUCUCCGAGAAUGCAUCUUCAACAUAGCAUCUCGAAAUACUCAGUUUUCUUCCUCUCCGAGAAUACCUCUUCAAACAUGUCACACCAGAGCAAGAUUAUCACAUAUCUUCAGGGACCAAAGCAAGAUUAUCUCAUAUCAUGCAAUCUCCCUGUCCUUUCCUUUGUCCUUGUUCUUGCCUGCAAAGACAAGGAUAAAGAAAGCAAUAUGUCGGAACCUCCACUCAAACUCCCGAUAAGGAACCGACUGCCUGGAACCUUUCCUGAUUGCUUACCUAGUAUUGCUCUCGAGUAGUCAUCUUCAACGGUUGGAGCUGAGUCUCCAGUCACCAAGAAGUGAUGAACCAUUCAAAUGUAAGGGUUUGCAUUCCUCUCCUGCAUCAGGGGACAAAUCCUAAAAGAGAAGAUGUCACACAUGUAGGGGAAAACCAAGGAAAAUACUACUUAAGCAAGGGGAGCAAGUAAGGAAAGUGAAAAUGAUACAUUGGAGCAUGUGGAGACAAGCACAACAAACACGUGCUAAUUCAUCCCUGACAAAGUCGAAGAUCACUUGCCACGUGAAGCUCUUCACGGUACAACUUUAUUCAAGAUCAAGCCUCGGAGGUCCUUGAAGAAAUCACAAGUCCGAUUCAAGAUCAAGUGUCCACCACUUUUGAAUCAAAUUCCGCUCCAGAUAAAAGGAGUAAAUUCAGAUCUUCGAUUCUAGUCUAGCAGAAGGCCCUCUAGCCCAGUUCAAGAACAAGCCUGUGGAAAGUUAACAACAAGUAAAGCAACUAUUUCAACAACUCUUCUUACUAAGAGACUAAAGCAUAACGAUCAACGAUCAACCUAAAUGAUUUGAAAUCAGGGGGAGAUAUUCAUCAGGGGGAGCAUCCAAGACAGAUCAAGAUUUUAACGAGUCAAUCGAAGACUUGUGGCCAUCCAAGGGGGAGUGUUGUAAAUAUUAUGUGGAUGGCCCACAUGAAUAGUUUGUUACUAUUUAUUCACAUUAUUUUCACUAUUCAUUUGUGGAAAAUUUGUAAGGUGAAUAGUGUCCUCUUUGAUUAUAAAAUGAAUGAGAAGAAGAGGAAGAAAGGGGUUCACGGGAGAGAUAAGAAGAAAAGAAAGAAAGAAAGAGAGGAAGGAAGGAAGAGGAAGAGAGAGAAGGAAGAGGAAGAGAGAAAAUAGAGGAAGAUGAGAGGAGAUAAUAGAGAGAGAGUUAUCUUUGUACUCCUAUUAUUUCAAAUUAUAAUGAAAGCACCACUGCUGCCCCGAGGACGUACUCCAGUCACACUGACUGUAGAGGAACCUCGUAAAUUUUGUGUCUUGUUUCAUUUAUUCCACUGCACCCACAGUCGAUUUUACAAC
rnacentral:lncRNA from 1 species